UGUUGAAUGCUAGCGGCGGAUGGGUGAGUAACACGUGGGCAAUCUGCCCUAAAGACUGGUAUACCACUUGGAAACAGGUGCUAAUACCGGAUAACCACAUGAAUAGCAUGAUUCAAGUUUGAAAGGCGGCGCAAGCUGUCACUUUAGGAUGAGCCCGCGGCGCAUUAGCUAGUUGGUGGGGUAAAGGCCUACCAAGGCAAUGAUGCGUAGCCGAGUUGAGAGACUGAUCGGCCACAUUGGGACUGAGACACGGCCCAAACUCCUACGGGAGGCAGCAGUAGGGAAUCUUCCACAAUGGACGCAAGUCUGAUGGAGCAACGCCGCGUGAGUGAAGAAGGUCUUCGGAUCGUAAAGCUCUGUUGUUGGUGAAGAAGGAUAGAGGCAGUAACUGGUCUUUAUUUGACGGUAAUCAACCAGAAAGUCACGGCUAACUACGUGCCAGCAGCCGCGGUAAUACGUAGGUGGCAAGCGUUGUCCGGAUUUAUUGGGCGUAAAGCGAGCGCAGGCGGAAUGAUAAGUCUGAUGUGAA
rnacentral:rRNA from 1 species